CCCUUAGAUGUUCUGGGCGGCCCGCGCACUACACUGGCACUCUCAAUCAGAGCCUGGAUCUAACACUUUGGGGUAUUCUAUGAAGUGGUGUCGUGACUGGGAUUAACCCUUGCAAUUAUUGGUUACGAACGAGGAAUUCCUUGUAAUCGCGGUUUAUCAGCCCGCGUUGAAUGCGUCCCUGCCCUUUGUACACACCGCCCGUCGCUCCUACCGAUGGAUCGUCCGGUGAAGCUCAUGGAGGGGCGGUUGUCUCAGCUGCCGUCGAAGUGAAAUGGACCCCACGAUCUAGAGGAAGGAGAAGUCGUAACA
rnacentral:rRNA from 1 species